GAUGAACGCUGGCGGCGUGCCUAAUACAUGCAAGUCGAGCGAACGGACGAGAAGCUUGCUUCUCUGAUGUUAGCGGCGGACGGGUGAGUAACACGUGGAUAACCUACCUAUAAGACUGGGAUAACUUCGGGAAACCGGAGCUAAUACCGGAUAAUAUUUUGAACCGCAUGGUUCAAAAGUGAAAGACGGUCUUGCUGUCACUUAUAGAUGGAUCCGCGCUGCAUUAGCUAGUUGGUAAGGUAACGGCUUACCAAGGCAACGAUGCAUAGCCGACCUGAGAGGGUGAUCGGCCACACUGGAACUGAGACACGGUCCAGACUCCUACGGGAGGCAGCAGUAGGGAAGCUUCCGCAAUGGGCGAAAGCCUGACGGAGCAACGCCGCGUGAGUGAUGAAGGUCUUCGGAUCGUAAAACUCUGUUAUUAGGGAAGAACGUAUGUGUAAGUAACUGUGCACAUCUUGACGGUACCUAAUCAGAAAGCCACGGCUAACUACGUG
rnacentral:rRNA from 1 species